AACCGGCGAUACCCGAAUGGGGAAACCCAGUGUGUUUCGACACACUAUCAUGUCAUGAAUACAUAGUGGCAUGAGGCGAACCGGGGGAACUGAAACAUCUAAGUACCCCGAGGAAAAGAAAUCAACCGAGAUUCCCCCAGUAGCGGCGAGCGAACGGGGAGGAGCCCAGAACCUGAAUCGGCUUGUGUGUUAGUGGAAGCGUCUGGAAAGUCGCGCAGCAAAGGGUGAUAGCCCCGUACACUAAAAUGCACAGGUCGUGAGUUCGAUGAGUAGGGCGGGACACGUGACAUCCUGUCUGAAUAUGGGGGGACCAUCCUCCAAGGCUAAAUACUCCUGACUGACCGAUAGUGAACCAGUACCGUGAGGGAAAGGCGAAAAGAACCCCGGCGAGGGGAGUGAAAUAGAACCUGAAACCGUGUACGUACAAGCAGUGGGAGCACCUUCGUGGUGUGACUGCGUACCUUUUGUAUAAUGGGUCAGCGACUUAUAUUUUGUAGCAAGGUUAACCGUAUAGGGGAGCCGUAGGGAAACCGAGUCUUAACUGGGCGAAUAGUUGCAAGGUAUAGACCCGAAACCCGGUGAUCUAGCCAUGGGCAGGUUGAAGGUUGGGUAACACUAACUGGAGGACCGAACCGACUAAUGUUGAAAAAUUAGCGGAUGACUUGUGGCUGGGGGUGAAAGGCCAAUCAAACCGGGAGAUAGCUGGUUCUCCCCGAAAGCUAUUUAGGUAGCGCCUCGUGAACUCAUCUUCGGGGGUAGAGCACUGUUUCGGCUAGGGGGCCAUCCCGGCUUACCAAACCGAUGCAAACUCCGAAUACCGAAGAAUGUUAUCACGGGAGACACACGGCGGGUGCUAACGUCCGUCGUGAAGAGGGAAACAACCCAGACCGCCAGCUAAGGUCCCAAAGUCAUGGUUAAGUGGGAAACGAUGUGGGAAGGCACAGACAGCCAGGAUGUUGGCUUAGAAGCAGCCAUCAUUUAAAGAAAGCGUAAUAGCUCACUGGUCGAGUCGGCCUGCGCGGAAGAUGUAACGGGGCUAAACCAUGCACCGAAGCUGCGGCAGCGACGCUUAGGCGUUGUUGGGUAGGGGAGCGUUCUGUAAGCCGUUGAAGGUGGCCUGUGAGGGUUGCUGGAGGUAUCAGAAGUGCGAAUGCUGACAUAAGUAACGAUAAAGCGGGUGAAAAGCCCGCUCGCCGGAAGACCAAGGGUUCCUGUCCAACGUUAAUCGGGGCAGGGUGAGUCGACCCCUAAGGCGAGGCUGAAAAGCGUAGUCGAUGGGAAACAGGUUAAUAUUCCUGUACUUGGUGUUACUGCGAAGGGGGGACGGAGAAGGCUAGGCUGGCCGGGCGACGGUUGUCCCGGUUUAAGCGUGUAGGGGGUGUGACCUGGUAAAUCCGGUUGCAUACUAACCCUGAGGCGUGAUGACGAUGCACUACGGUGCAGAAGUAGUUGAUGCCCUGCUUCCAGGAAAAUCCUCUAAGC
rnacentral:rRNA from 1 species